rnacentral:tRNA from 1 species
GGGGUUGUGGCUCAGGGGUAAAGCACUCGCUUGACACGUGUGAGGUCCUGGGUUCGAUCCUCAGCACCA